rnacentral:sRNA from 1 species
GAUGAUAUAGAUAUUGAUAGUGAUUUCAGAAAGGAUGAUUUUUAUUACUUGUCUCAAGAAGACAAAGAGAGACAGAAGCGUGAGCAUGAAGAAUCCAAGAGGGUGCUCCAAGAAUUAAAAUCUGUGCUGGGAUUUAAAGCUUCAGAGGCAGAAAGGCAGAAGUGGAAGCAACUUCUAUUUAGUGAUCAUGGGGUAAAGUCCGCAUGGAAUUAGAGGGGGAAAGUCUGCACUGGAACCUGCUGUGGCCAUUUUUUUUCUGUUGUUGCUGCUUCUCUAGUGGAGUUACUGCAGCUUAGGGAUGGUUCCUGGAAGUGGACACAUUUUACAAAAACGUUUUUUAAAUACACGCCAGCUCUUCGAGAAGCACUUUUUUCCUUCCGUCAUGCUUCAUACUAUAUUGUAUUGUACUAACCCCUCAUGCUGGGAUGAGCGACUGCCUAGCAAGCAACCCACUGCCUACUAACAUCAAGAGGGGCUAAAUAAAACUGCAUUUUCCUUGCAAGGACAACUUCUACCGUAUGAAUAUAUAUUAUAUUUAUGUAUUAUAUUUUGUACAAUAGUUGAUCUUGAAUGCAGACU